rnacentral:rRNA from 1 species
AGGAUGGGCCCGCGUCCCAUUAGCUAGUUGGUGAGGUAAAGGCCCACCAAGGCAACGAUGGGUAUCCGGCCUGAGAGGGUGAACGGACACAUUGGGACUGAGAUACGGCCCAAACUCCUACGGGAGGCAGCAGCUAAGAAUCUUCCGCAAUGGACGAAAGUCUGACGGAGCGACGCCGUGUGAAUGAAGAAGGCCGAAAGGUUGUAAAAUUCUUUUGCAGAUGAAGAAUAAGAAGAAGAGGGAA